rnacentral:rRNA from 1 species
GCCAGACUCCUACGGGAGGCAGCAGUGGGGAAUAUUGCACAAUGGGGGAAACCCUGAUGCAGCGACGCCGCGUGGGUGAAGAAGUAUUUCGGUAUGUAAAGCUCUAUCAGCAGGAACGAGACAAGACGGUACCUGACUAAGAAGCCCCGGCUAACUACGUGCCAGCAGCCGCGGUAAUACGUAGGGGGCAAGCGUUAUCCGGAAUCACUGGGUGUAAAGGGAGCGUAGACGGCUGUGCAAGCCUGAAGUGAGAGGCGGGGGCCCAACCCCUGGACUGCUUUGGGAACUGUACGGCUGGAGUGCAGGAGAGGUAAGUGGAAUUCCUAGUGUAGCGGUGAAAUGCGUAGAUAUUAGGAGGAACACCAGUGGCGAAGGCGGCUUACUGGACUGUAACUGACGUUGAGGCUCGAAAGCGUGGGGAGCAAACAGGAUUAGAUACCCCCGUAC